GCCUUCGUGGUGUAGUGGUCAGCACGCUCGGCGCGUAUUCGAGAGGUCCGUGGUUCGAAUCCCGGCGAGGGGA
rnacentral:tRNA from 1 species